CUCUUCACUAUACACUACAUGUUCCAACUUUGUCAGAUUCUUCUUGAUUGGAUUCUUUCUCCUUCAUCUCCCAAAAUAUCCAUAUAUUCUAUUUAACAAACAUAAUAUCUUGUAAAUCCCGCCAAGGCACUAAGACUGAUUAGUAGCGGCAUUAGACAUUGGACAAAUUGGCAUCGCAUAUUUGAUCGUCAGAUAGAUCUGAGGCCACAUCCAAUCACUUCAAUGCAUCAUAUAAAAUAGAUGCAAAAAAUAUUAUUUUGAUUUGCCAAAUUAUCCAAAAAAAA
rnacentral:lncRNA from 1 species